UACGUAGGGGGCAAGCGUUUGUCCGGAAUCAUUGGGCGUAAAGCGCGCGUAGGCGGCCCGGUAAGUCCGUUGUGAAAGUCAGAGGCUCAACCUCUGGAGGCCAAUGGAUACUGCCGGGCUAGAGUCCGGAAGAGGCGAGUGGAAUUCCUGGUGUAGCGGUGGAAUGCGCAGAUAUCAGGAGGAACACCAAUGGCGAAGGCAGCUCGCUGGGGACGGUACUGACGCUGAGGUGCGAAAGCGUGGGGAGCGAACAGG
rnacentral:rRNA from 1 species